rnacentral:rRNA from 1 species
GUGCCCGCAGCCGCGGGUAAUACGGAAGGGGCAAGCGUUAAUCGGAAUUACUGGGCGUAAAGCGGCCCGCAGGCCGUUUGUUAAAUUAGAAGUGAAAUCCCCGGGCUCAACCUGGGAACUGCAUCUGAUACUGGCAAGCUUGAGUCUCGUAGAGGGGGGUAGAUUUCCAGGUGUAGCGGUGAAAUGCGUAGAGAUCUGGAGGAAUACCGGUGGCGAAGGCGGCCCCCUGGACGAAGACUGACGCUCAGGUGCGAAAGCGUGGGGAGCAAACAGGAUUAGAUACCCUGGUAGUCC